rnacentral:rRNA from 1 species
AUACGGAGGAUCCGAGCGUUAUCCGGAUUUAUUGGGUUUAAAGGGUGCGUAGGCGGUUUGAUAAGUCAGCGGUGAAAUAUUUCAGCUUAACUGGAAGGGUGCCGUUGAUACUGUCAGGCUUGAAUUUAGUUGCUGUGGGUGGAAUGUGUGGUGUAGCGGUGAAAUGCAUAGAUAUCACACAGAAUAUCGAUUGCGAAGGCAGCUCACAAAGCUAAUAUUGACGCUGAUGCACGAAAGUGUGGGGAUC